UACAGGGGGUGCAAACGUUGCUCGGAAUUAUUGGGCGUAAAGCGCACGUAGGCGGUUUGUUAUGUCGGAUGUGAAAGCCCUUGGCUCAACUGAGGAAGUGCAUCCGAAACUGGCAAGCUAGAGUAUGUAAGAGGGUCGCGGAAUUCCCGGUGUAGAGGUGAAAUUCGUAGAUAUCGGGAGGAACACCGGUGGCGAAGGCGGCCCCCUGGACCGGUACUGACGCUGAGGAGCGAAAGCGUGGGGAGCGAACAGG
rnacentral:rRNA from 1 species